AGCUCCAAUAGCGUAUAUUAAAGUUGUUGCGGUUAAAAAGCUCGUAGUUGAAUCUGUGUUUCACACUGUUGGUUCACCGCUCGCGGUGUUUACUGGCAUGAUGUGGGACGUCCUACCGGUGGGCUUAGCUCUUCGGGGCGGUCCAACUAAUAUCCCAUCGCGGUGCUCUUCAUUGAGUGUCGAGAUGGGCCGGUACGUUUACUUUGAACAAAUUAGAGUGCUUAAAGCAGGCUAGCCUCGCCUGAAUACUGUGUGCAUGGAAUAAUGGAAUAGGACCUCGGUUCUAUUUUGUUGGUUUUCGGAACUCCGAGGUAAUGAUUAAUAGGGACAGAUGGGGGCAUUCGUAUUGCGACGUUAGAGGUGAAAUUCUUGGAUCGUCGCAAGACGGACAGAAGCGAAAGCAUUUGCCAAAAAUGUUUUCA
rnacentral:rRNA from 1 species